rnacentral:lncRNA from 1 species
CAGUGAUGUGAGUGGUCCUUUGACCUGUGGUGUCAUUGGCUAUUCAUAGCGAGGCUAUUGAGUUUGAUUGCAUAUUUCUUUGGUCCCUAGCCAUUCGGAUCCUUGCUGUAUAUGUUGGCUUCAGUAGGUUCAGGUUCGCUGUUUGGAGUAGGAUGCACCUAGAUGGGAUUUAUCAAUCUCGAUAGAAAAGAAGAAAUCCUAUACGAUUUAUGAGACUGAGUUCAGAAAGUCUUUGACUAAAGCAAGUGUGAAUACUGAAAAAGAGUUUUCAUGAGAUUCACAAAUGAAAUCGAGUCGAGCCAAUCUAGUAUAUGACUGACGAUGGGGUCUAACAAACUCU